rnacentral:sRNA from 1 species
ACCAAGAUGAGGCUAGUCCAGACGUUGGU